rnacentral:lncRNA from 1 species
AAGGAGAAAAAUCAUAAAAGGAGGGUGGGGGAUGACCAUACCAAAAGGGAAUAAAAAGAGAGAAAAGGGGAAAAAAACCUACCUGCGAAGUCUUGUUUGUAGUUUUGGCCAGAAAUGGUGAGAAGAAAAAGCAUGAAGAAGCCGCGAAGUGUGGGGGAGAAAAAGGUGGAAGCGAAGAAACAGCUCCCGGAGCAAACUGUACAAAACCUCGCCAAGAGUGUCGGGAGGCAGGACCGUUAUUCCUGCGGAGCAGGUUAGAACUGAUCUCUUUCGGCCACUCCAGGAAACACAAACCUGGGGACGGACUGACGUGUUACGCCUCUUCUAAUGACAUUUUUUUCUUUUUCUUUUCUGUAGGAGAGAGAGGAGAGACCCUGAAACACGCGCCACCUAUCUUUGUGGGGAGGGAUAAUUGAAGCGCCCUGAGCGUGAGCAUCAUGUGAAAACGUGAUCGCCAAGUUUCUCUCUGGGAAAGGAUCUGGGAUAGAUUAUACCUUGAAGUCUCCGCAAACGCUUUAGUGGAAGAAAUGAAAUUCCACCUCCCUCCCUUCCUCUCUCCCUCCCUCUCGCCUCCCUCCCUCCCUCCCUCCCUCUCUUCUCCACGCCCCCCCCNCCCCCCCCCCCCCCCCCCCCCCCCCCCCCCCCGUCAAGCCUUUGGCAUCAUUAUCCUCAUCACUAAAUCCUACAGAGUACAGGGCGGAAAACGGUGCACACCAUUCACAGAACUGGAGAACUCUAAGGGGCGAAAGUUAAAGGGAAAGAUCCCGGGUCCUUAAUCCAGAUCGCCUCUUCUUAUACAGAUAUUUCUAAUGGCCAGACUUGAGAUGCACAUUAAGUUGUGUGGAUUUCUCAGCACGUCUUCUGGAACUAAAUUCUUUGCCCUUUUUCUUCUUUUAUUUUAUUUUAUUUUUCUUUUUGGAUGGCAGAGCCAGAAAAAAAAAUGCUGCAUGUGAACUACAUCUUAGGGUGUGUGUGCUGGGGUGUGUGUAUGAUGAAUUUCUGGAUUGGAUCUCAAUGGUAAAAAGUAGUUUGGCAUUUUUAAAA